UCUAGCUUUGUGUGAGAAGCCGGUCGGAACCUCGUUUAUCAGUUUGCCUGAUACUCUGACGAAGACCAACGUUUCACCUUCUAGUUGCGUUCCGACAGAAAGGAAACAACGAAACAUGUGUCACUCAAGUUGUAAACGCAUGUAAACCUGUACCAUGAAGAUAGUGAUUCACGCAUUUUUAACAAAUAUUUUGAUUUCGAAUGCCACAUGCACUGAUUGCAUCUAAUCGCACGCUAAAUAUGCGUCUAUCGGAUUAGAAGGCAACAAAUUGCAGGAAUUUUUGAAGGUUACACUGCGGGAACACGCCAUAGCCCACUUUACCCAGCCCAGUGCUUAUAGACUGAACUUGCGUUAGUUACUGGUUCCCAGCGAACGUUCAGCUGUCUCGAUUGACUCUUCGAUGCGCCUUCGUUCUAAUUUGUGUCGCACCUCACUAAAUCAAGCAAAAAGGAACAGGAAGGUAAUGAUCAACAUAAUAAUCCAGGCAACGAUUAUCGUUUGCGUCGCACUGGCAGCACCCAGUUUAGCGGUUUACCAGAAAUCUGCUUCGCCAGAUGGGGGCUUACUCCUCCAAAAUAAGGAAGGCUCGUUUGCUGAUCGAUCCUCUACGAUCAGUGCGGACAGAGAUGUACCCAUAUCUCGUCGACCCCAAACAGUUGUUCCGACGGAACGGUCUGAUGUAACUCGCCGACCUCAGAAGAUUCUUCCGAUAGAACAGUAUGACGUGUCUCCUCAGUCUAGGCGUGAAAAGGGGAUUCGCGAAAUAUCCGAGAAUAACAAUGGCAGAGUAUAUCGUACACCGCACGUUGAAUCCGUCUCGUCUUCCCAGGGGUGGUCAGUAGGUCAAAACAACAAUCAACAACAUAAACAAUUUGAACUCCCAUCUGCAAAAGUCAAAAUAUUCUAUGCAUCGCUUCUAAAAGCUUCGCAAGCAUCGUUCAGUGUUACAGAUCCUCGGAAAACAGAGGAUAAUAAGGAAAAUACCGGACUUGCUCUUAACAGAGUUGCAGGAGGCAGCUGGUUGGAGACGUCGGUGACAUCUAAACAACUAGAUACACAGAAAGAAGAGAAAAAUGCAAUUCCUAUAAUAAUUAUUCAACAACAGCAUGAGCCACAAUCACUUAAGCAGCGGACAAGAUUAGUAGAUGAAGUUCCCGUUCCUUCUAAAUCAAAGCAGUAUGUAUCGUCAAAUUCUCCAAUUACGUACCAUGACCAUAGACCACGUUUCCAGACAGCGCAGAUGACGGCAAACCAGAAUCAAAUAACCAAUCUUGGCAGCACUCCUAAAAAGCUUAUAACUGAUCUGGUAAAAUUUUCCUCACCGAUUCAAAGCGAUUCAAACCAUCGCAACGUUGGCGUAUUUAGGGAGAAACCUCAACAAAAGCAAUUGAUACCAGUGAUUAUUAUUCAGGAGACAAAUGCUCUUAACGCACACGUGGUUGCUGAUGGUAGUCAACUGAUAACGUCACAGGAAGAAGAUCAACAACAGGGCAAAUAUAUGAGGAGCUCUUCUCCUUCCGAGUAUGGACCUGGCGGCCGGAGGGUAUUAACGUGGAAUAAGCAGGCGAACGAAUCCAGUUCCCAACCGGCCUUGCAAGAGGCUCGAAUGAAACAGCAAUGGCCCCAGGGGACUGGAAAUACAGGCUUCGCAGACAACAUCACUGUUCCUGGGCAUUCUAAAAAGCAGCAAGAUACUAAAGAUGUUUGGCAAGUAAAGCAAAAUCAACCGAAUCUGGACAAUCGCUGGAUUGUCCACCAUCAAAGAGACGACUCUCCUUGGAAGCCGAGUCCUUCGCUAGUAAAUGAUACUCGGAAAAACACUGUAAAAAAGCCAAGAUGGGUGAUAACUGACAAUCAAAACCAAGCUUGGACUCCAAGUCCGUCGGACACUUAUGGCAAAAGCCAACAUGAAAAACCUCACAAACAUGUUGAUUGGAAUUCGCAGAGUCUAGUCCAGAGACAAUCUGAAGGUUUGAUUCGGGAACAAGCAAAAGGAACCUCAAUAGAUCAUAUAGUUCCUAAAGGAUGGGUUAACUCAGACGGACAGCACGAGAAUUCACCGAGCAAUUAUCCUAUUAGCUGGACACAAUUAGUCGCGCAGCCGUUUCAUCAGGAGAAAACUCAAACUGAACAAAAACGUCUCUGGCAAGAUCAAGCACAACAAAUGCAAUUUGAUUUUCCUUUCCAGCAACCACAGCAUACGAAAUUACUACCACCGAAUGAGCUUGAGCAGUACCCCCAUGGAACGCGAAGAUCCCACCACAACGAGAGCGAUUGGUCACCUUUUGAUUCUCAGCAAAACCACUUUGGUCCAUAUAUGGUAAAAAAUGUGCAUCAGGAACGAGCUCAGCCUCAGAAAGCUAUAUUGCCUACUAAAACGGUGCCAGUUCACAAACAAGGACAAGAUCUUCUUACCCAGACACGGUCGAAUGAUUCGUCGGAAAAAAAUGUACAGCAACAGUUAAAACAGAAAUCGGCAGAAACCCGUCUGGAAAAUAACCGGCCCAAAAAUUUAAGAAAAAUUUUAGUGCCACUCUAUCAACAGAAAACUAACGUGUCUAAUGAGCGGCAUUCGAGCAGACAACAAGUACAGGAACAACAAACAUCCUCCAGACAGCUAUGGGAUUUAUUUUCAUGGCAAUAUCAACAACUGCCGGAUACUGCGUCCUGGAAACCCUUUCGAACCGAAGGACACAAUACAAGUGAUGCCUUCAGUUCAACUAGCAGAAUACAAACGCCAGCGGCACGACCUGUCAGUGGUGGCUGGCCACCGAACUGCAAUGACGGCAGCCAGAAUGAACUAAGGCAGCAUUUACAACAAACAGAGUCUCCGCAAGAUCAGAACCGUCAGCAACAUCAGGAACACCCGCAAGAGUUGCACCAUACGUCACAUUUUGGAAACAGUAAUCUUCAAUGGCACGACAUUUAUGGAUAUUCACGUAAAAAGACCUCAUGGCGCGAGCACCAUAGCCAACCAACGUGGACAAAGGGAGCGUCAGAGUCAGCAACUGAAUGGAGCCUGCAACACGACUCAGGUGGUGAUCCAACAAAUAAUGAUGGGUCUGGGUCUACAGCUACUGCUAUAGGGCCUACUUUUAGCCCCAUACAAAAACAACACACGAACUUAACUUCCAAGGUAAGAUCAAGACUGCAUGCAUCUCCCGGUCUUACCAACAGCCGUAAGAAAGAUCACGGAAGACGUAUGUUCGGAGAGCAAGGUGACAGAAAUGCGGACGAUGGAUCAGUUUCGUAAAGCAGCUACAGCUGUUAAAGCAAACACUCCAAUGUGGAAACGAAAUACUGGCCAAUAAAAAUACGUAUAACAAUUUUGUUUAAGCAUUUUGUACGGCAUCGGCAAGAGACAAUUGGAGAGAGGAUAACUGCCAACAUCACAACCUACUGAAACCAAGUAGAGGAUCUUAGAUCGGGUAUCUCUCCUAUCAGGACCUAUUAAAGAAACAUCCAUAAAAUACGCCAAUAAAGAAAGACAUUAUAGAUAAGAACUAGCUCAAAAAAAUACGAAAUAUUUGAAAGAGGUGUUAUUUUACAAAUUAGCACACGUAACAGAAGAAAGAAAUACUCACAGAUAUAUGUAGCAGGAAUAUGCUGAGCGUUAUCAAUUACUCGAUACCUUUAAGCGUAUGCUAAAACAGUACACGUUUACAUCACUACGUAUUACUAAUUAAAAUCGUUUACGUCAAAAUUAUAAUAUUCGUACAAAUCCACAUAUCCAUCUUCCAGUGCCGCUUAUUUUAUGAGAGCUAGUCUACUACUGGUUGUCAUUCUCACCAACAUGCCUUACCUUCAAUUAUCAGACUGGUUACCCCAGUCAAUAUAUGUACGUGUAUUACCUUGAUUAUGGAUAACGUCUUCUAACGAGUUCUAUCACUCUGAAUGCGUUUCUGCCUUAAACAAUAUUUCUUUUUUCGUAGCCGCUCAUUAUUUCCUACAGCAAGUGAAAUAUUCAGAAAGGAGCAGAGACGCCAGAAAAGAGAGAGUUUACCAGAUAUAAUUUUUAUAAUCUUUAUGGAGUUACCGUACUCCAUGUAAGCCAAUGCUUUCAAAUCUCUCACUAAUUGCAUGAUCUAGUAAAUAUAUUGUCAAGACGGGUAUUUACUCUGGAACUUCUUUGCAUACUACGUAUUACCAAAUAAUUCACUCAGGCCAACCUACCUAAAAUGUUGAGUAGCUAACAACG